rnacentral:rRNA from 1 species
CCCCGAUUGCGAAGGCAGCUGUCUAGCCCAGCAUUGACGCUGAUGCACGAAAGCGUGGGGAUCGAACAGGAUUAGAUACCCUGGUAGUCCACGCCCUAAACGAUGAUGACUCGAUGUUAGCGAUAUAGUGUUAGCGUCCAAGCGAAAGCGUUAAGUCAUCCACCUGGGGAGUACGGCCGCAAGGCUGAAACUCAAAGGAAUUGACGGGGGCCCGCACAAGCGGAGGAGCAUGUGGUUUAAUUCGAUGAUACGCGAG